GCUACUCCGGGGAUAACAGGCUAGUAGAGCCCGAGAGUCCAUAUCGACGGCUCUGUUCGGCACCUCGAUGUCGGCUCAACACAUCCUGGGGGUGAAGCAUAAUUUUAUUUCUACUUUCCUUUGUGGAAACGCAAAGGUAAUUAAACAAGCUCAAAAUGGGGAAAGCCUCUGGAAUUUGCAAGAUAGCAGGUCCCAGGUUAUACUUAAUAAUAUGACAAAGGUUAAUCCCAUGAGAAAAAUACUUUCUGAAGUUAACAAAGCAUACAUGUCCGGAUUAUUAGACGGAGAUGGAGCAAUUAUGGCCUGCAUUGAAAAACAUGCAGAGAAAAAAUUUGGUUUUAGAGUAAGAAUUUACAUCAAAAUUAGUCAAAAUAAUGAAAAAAUUCUCACAUGGUGUAAAUUGGUUACUGAAAUGGGGAAUGUAAGGAAUGUGAAAGGUGAAGAAUAUGAAUGGCGAGUGCGAAACCAAACAGAUACUAAGUUAUUAUUAGAAUGGCUUACUCCUUAUUUAAAAAUAAAGAAUAAACAGGGUAACUUAGCAAGUAAAAUUCUUAAUAUUGAAAUUAAGAAUGUCAAGCAAUUGCUUAAAGCUGCUAAUUUAGCAGAUACAUUGUCGGCGUUGAAUGUUCGCUCUCAAGGGCGAAGAAAAAACUUUACGACAAUGAUCCAAGAAAAUAUUUCUCCUAACGACUGAUUCUUGUUCUUGAGACAAGAUGAGAUAAGCAAAAUCAUAACGAUUAUAAAGCUUAUCACACGGCUUGCACCUAAACUUUUAUUGGUGACAAUAAAAACACGGUGAAGGUAUAGUCUUACCCCAUUAGUAAUAAUGGAAGGUCAGAGCUCCCAAGGGUUCGGCUGUUCGCCGAUUAAAGUGUUACGUGAGCUGGGUUCAAACCGUCGUGAGACAGGUUGGUCCCUAUCUACCGCAGGCGUUGAGUUUUGAGGAGAUUUGAUCCUAGUAAAAUUUGCUACUUCACAAAGUAAUUUGUGAUGACAAUUCGGCUAAUAACGGUGAAACCUCUAUUGUGCGACAUUUUUGCGGUCCAAAAAUGUCGGUAAAAUAUGAUAAAGGCAAUACCGUGGGAAGCAUAGAAACUAAUUUUGUAAUUUAAUUUUAACUUUUAAGAGGAUAUAAGAUGAAAUAUAGAUUAUUUUUUCAUUCCUAUGAUCUUACAUCUGAUAAUGAUCCUGGAUUGGAUCACCACCGUGAUUUUUAUGCAAAAAAUGACGAGGCAGCACAAAAAAAGAUUAAAGGGAUGGUGCAAUAUUCACUAGAUGUAGAAAUGGGAGGAUUUACCCCUUUGAGAUUUUUUAGGAUUGUUAAGGGAAAGACGAAGUACCAAGAAGAACAAUUGAUAGAAAUUCCUCUUUCUCCUGAACCAUUAGGUGAAACAGAAAUCGAUCUAAGGUGACUUAAUUGAUAAAUUACAAAAUUAGUUUCUAUGCCCCGUAACGACUGAGGCCCUGUGCCAAGAUGGUGGUAUUUGAAACCAUCAUAAUAUGCCGAUGCCCUAAUCCAAAAUGGAUGGGCAAAGAUAUAGUCUGCACCCAUAGUGAUAUGGGAUAAUUAUAUAAGUAUAGUCAGCGUGAGUCUGCGUAAAGUCUGCGCAAGUCCGCAGUUAUGCAAAACAUAAUGCGACGAGAGGACCGGAUUGAACUAACCUCUGGUGUACCAGUUGUUCCGCCAGGAGCAUUGCUGGGUAGCUAAGUUGGGAAGGGAUAAGCGCUGAAAGCAUAUAAGCGCGAAACCCACUCCAAGAUGAGAACUCUUAGAUUUCCCCAAGAUUAGGGGAUUGAUAGGCGCCAGGUGUAAGUCCCGUAAGGGAUUCAGCCGGGGCGUACUAAUAAAUCAUACAUUUUUUAGC
rnacentral:ncRNA from 1 species